rnacentral:lncRNA from 1 species
AAAAACGAAAAAGAAUCUACCUCUUCAUACCAUACAUCUGGUGCACAAGGAGGAGACAAUAGUUAUUUUGGACCCACCUGGUGGCAUUAAGGUCUUCCCCAAAGAGGAGGUCCUCACUGACCUGCAGGUCACCAUCUAGGGCCCUGAGGGGAAGCCCUAUGCCAGAGGUCUGUUCAGCAUGAAGCUCCUUCUAGGCAAGGAUUUCCCUCCCUCCCCACCCAAGGCCCAUUCCCUGACUAAGACCUUCCACCCAGAUGUGGGUGCCAAUGCUGAAAUCUUUGCCAACCUGUUCAAGAGGAGCUGGACAGCGGAGCUGGUCAUCAAACACGUGCUGCUGACCAAGUGCCCACCACCCAGAGCUUGCACUCAAGUAUAAGGGCCCCUGCUUUUGGAGCACUACGAAGAGUAUGCUGCCUGUGUCCUGUCUGCUGACAGAUCCAUCUGAUGCGCAAGUAGCACCAGCAGCUGAAGAGCUGAAACUACCCAGGACAUCACCAUAGUACUAUACCCCCCUACAUUGAGCUUACGAUCCCAGGGGUCUAGGAGGGGCUAAAGAUCCCCGGAUGAAAAAGCACUCAGGAUAGCAAGGUAAGUUAGCAGCCAAG